CUGCCUUCCACAGAGGGAUAGCCCAGAGAAAUUUGGAUUAAUACCUCAUAGCAUCAUGACCCGGCAUCGGAAUAUGAUUAAAGUCACAACGGUGGAAGAUGAGCAUGCGUCCCAUUACCUAGUUGGUAAGGUAACGGCUUACCAAGGCUACGAUGGGUAGGGGUCCUGAGAGGGAGAUCCCCCACACUGGUACUGAGACACGGACCAGACUCCUACGGGAGGCAGCAGUGAGGAAUAUUGGUCAGUGGGCGCAAGCCUGAACCAGCCAUGCCGCGUGCAGGAUGACGGUCCUAUGGAUUGUAAACUGCUUUUGUACGGGAAGAAACCCUCCUACGUGUAGGAGCUUGACGGUACCGUAAGAAUAAGGAUCGGCUAACUCCGUGCCAGCAGCCGCGGUAAUACGGAGGAUCCAAGCGUUAUCCGGAAUCAUUGGGUUUAAAGGGUCUGUAGGCGGUCUUGUAAGUCGGUGGUGAAAGCCCAUCGCUCAACGGUGGAACGGCCAUUGAUACUGCUGGACUUGAAUUAUUGGCAAGCAACUACAAUAUGUAGUGUAGCGGUGAAGUGCUUAGAGAUUACAUGGAAUACCAAUUGCGAAGGCAGGUUGCUACCAAUGGAUUGACGCUGAUGGACGAAAGCGUGAGUAGCGAACAGGAUUAGAUACCCUGGUAGUCCACGCCGUAAACGAUGGAUACUAGCUGU
rnacentral:rRNA from 1 species